rfam:Dipodomys ordii contig_47361, whole genome shotgun sequence.
GGGGAGGUGGCUCAGGGGUAGAGUGCUUGCCUAGCAUGCAUGAAGCCCUGGGUUCGAGUCCUCAGUACCCCA